rnacentral:rRNA from 1 species
CCUACGGGUGGCAGCAGUGAGGAAUAUUGGUCAAUGGGCGCGAGCCUGAACCAGCCAAGUAGCGUGAAGGAUGACUGCCCUACGGGUUGUAAACUUCUUUUAUAAAGGAAUAAAGUGAGGCACGUGUGCCUUUUUGUAUGUACUUAUUAAUAAAGAAUGGGCAACUUCGGUCCAGGAGGCGGCUGUAUUAGGGAGGUGCCGAGCGUUAGCCGGAUUUUUUGGUUUUAAAGGGGGCGUAGAGGGGUUGUUAAGUCAGUUGUGAAAGUUUGCGGCUCAACCGUAAAAUUGCAAUUGAUACUGGCAGUCUUGAGGACAGUUGAGGUAGGCGGAAUUCGUGGUGUAGCGGUGAAAUGCUUAGAUAUCACGAAGAACUCCGAUUGCGAAGGCAGCUUACUAAACUGCCACUGACAUUGAUGCUCGAAAGUGUGGGUAUCAAACAGGAUUAGAUACCCCAGUAGUC